AAAUUAAAAAAAGAAGAAAGAACGAUGGCGUGUACGAAACAAGUCCUAUAGCGAUUGACAAGCACACUUCCCCCCUCCCUCUUUUCUUCUCAAUUUUUUUUCUCUUCUUCUUCUUCUUCUUCUU
rnacentral:ribozyme from 1 species